rnacentral:rRNA from 1 species
UGUAACAAGGUUUCCGUAGGUGAACCUGCGGAAGGAUCAUUGUCGAAUCCUACAAAACUAUACCACUCGCGAACAUGUUCAUAAACACAGGACCAUAUCAAUUGUGGGGAACUCCUUGCAUUUGAUUUGUGCCUAACGACACCAAGGCAUUUGCUUUGGUGCCUAACAAACCCCCGGCGCGAGAAGCGCCAAGGAAUACUCUAACAAGGGCUCGAUCCGUCCUCUCCCGUUCGCGGGGCCAAGGGGAUUGGAGAAAGCUUCUUUCUAAACCAAAACGACUCUCGGCAACGGAUAUCUCGGCUCUCGCAUCGAUGAAGAACGUAGCGAAAUGCGAUACUUGGUGUGAAUUGCAGAAUCCCGUGAACCAUCGAGUCUUUGAACGCAAGUUGCGCCUGAAGCCAUUAGGCUAAGGGCACGUCUGCCUGGGCGUCACGCAUCGCGUCACCCCUUCAACAAUUUGUUUGGAUGGGGUGGAAUGUGACCUCCUGUGCAUAAAAGUGCAGCUGGUCAAAAUUUGAGUCCAGAGUCUAGGAUGUCACGGCAAGUGGUGGUUGGAUAACAACUCGCGUCCUGUCGUGUGCCAAACCUCUUGUGGCUUUCAAGACCCUAAGGUGCUUGUCAUCCUCCUUCAUGGGUGGUGAACUUGUGCUACGAACGCGACCCCAGGUCAGGCGGGAUUACCCGCUAAAUUUAAGCAUAUCAA